rnacentral:rRNA from 1 species
GACGAACGCUGGCGGCGUGCUUAACACAUGCAAGUCGAACGGAAAGGCCUGCUUUCCCUUGUGGAUUGCGGGUACUCGAGUGGCGAACGGGUGAGUAACACGUGAGUGAUCUGCCCCCAGCUUGGGUAUAAGCCUGGGAAACUGGGUCUAAUUCCCGAUAGGACUGCAGGGUGGUGCCUGUGGUGGAAAACGAUUUUCUAGUGGUUGGGGAUGAGCUCGCGGCCUAUCAGCUUGUUGGUGGGGUAAUGACCUACCAAGGCGGCGACGGGUAGCCGGCCUGGGAGGGUGGACGGCCACAUUGGGACUGAGAUACGGCCCAGACUCCUACGGGAGGCAGCAGUGGGGAAUAUUGCACAAUGGGCGGAAGCCUGAUGCAGCGACGCCGCGUGGGGGAUGACGGCCUUCGGGUUGUAAACUCCUUUCGACCGCGAGGAAGCCACCUGGUUGGAAGGGUGGUGACGGUAGUGGUAGAAGAAGCACCGGCUAACUACGUG